GCUGCAGCCAUGAGUAUGCUCAGGUUUCAGAAGAGGCUUGCUUGCCUCCAGCGUCCUACGCUGUGGCACAAGGAAGGUCUGGUUGGACCCCGGUGAGACCAAUGAAAUCGCCAAUGCCAAUUUCCUCAGCAGAACCGGAAACUGAUCAAAGAUGGGCUGAUCAUCCAGCAAGCCAGUGACUGUCCAUUCCCGGCCUCGAUGCCGGAAGGAAGAACACCCUGGCCCCCCAGAAGGGCAGGGACACGGGCAGAGGUAAACCAAAGGGGACAGUCAAAGCGCCGGCUGCUCAGGAGAUACCGUGAAUCGAAGAAGAGCGAUCGCCACAUGCAUCACAGCCUGUACCUGAAGGUGAAAGGGAAUGUGUUCAAGAACAAACGGAUCCUCAUGGAACACAUCCACAAGCUGAAGGCAGACAAGGCCCGCAAGAAAGAAGCUCCUGGUAGACCAGGCUGAGGCCUGAAGGGCGAAGACCAAGGAAGCGCGCAAGCGUGGUGAAGAGCACCUGCAGGCCAAGGAGGAGAGCGUCAAGACUCUGUCCAAGGAGGACGAGACCAAGAAAUAA